AACGAACGCUGGCGGCGUGCCUAACACAUGCAAGUCGAGCGAGAAAGGGAACUUCGGUUCCUGAGUAGAGCGGCGGACGGGUGAGUAACACGUGGGUAAUCUACCUCGGGUGGGGAAUAACUCAGGGAAACCUGGGCUAAUUCCGCAUGAUACUUUCGAUACACACGUAUUGAAAAUCAAAGUUGGGGACCCUUCGGGGCCUGACGCCUGGGGAGGAGCCCGCGGCCAAUUAGCUUGAUGGUGAGGUAAUGGCUCACCAUGGCUACGAUUGGUAGCCGGCCUGAGAGGGCGGACGGUCACACUGGGACUGAGACACGGCCCAGACUCCUACGGGAGGCAGCAGUGGGGAAUUUUUGUCAAUGGGGGAAACCCUGAACAAGCAACGCCGCGUGAAGGACGAAGACCUUCGGGUUGUAAACUUCUGUCGGAGGGGACGAAGGCGGUUACGGUUAAUACCCGUGAUCGUUGACGGUACCCUACGAGGAAGCCCCGGCUAACUCCGUG
rnacentral:rRNA from 1 species